CUACGGGUGGCUGCAGUGAGGAAUAUUGGACAAUGGAGGCAACUCUGAUCCAGCCAUGCCGCGUGCAGGAAGACGGCCCUACGGGUUGUAAACUGCUUUUAUACAGGAAGAAACGCCGCUACGUGUAGCGGUUUGACGGUACUGUACGAAUAAGGAUCGGCUAACUCCGUGCCAGCAGCCGCGGUAAUACGGAGGAUCCAAGCGUUAUCCGGAAUCAUUGGGUUUAAAGGGUCCGUAGGCGGUUUUUUAAGUCAGAGGUGAAAUCCUGCAGCUCAACUGUAGCAUUGCCUUUGAUACUGAAAGACUUGAGUUAUUGUGAAGUAGUUAGAAUGUGUAGUGUAGCGGUGAAAUGCAUAGAUAUUACACAGAAUACCGAUUGCGAAGGCAGAUUACUAACAAUAUACUGACGCUGAGGGACGAAAGCGUGGGUAGCGAACAGGAUUAGAUACCCGGGUAGUC
rnacentral:rRNA from 1 species